CUUGUUCCUUCUUGAAGUUUCCUUCUUCUGCUGUAAUGUUUGCUUUAAUAUGGAUCUAUUUUAUUUGUCUGAAAAUGUCUCUUCUGCUUUUGCUUUGAUGAAUAUUUUUGUUGGAAAUAGGUUCUAGACUGGCAUUUAGUAAUUAGCUAUUUUCUUUCAGCACACGUAGUUCUCAUUAUUGUCAUCUGGAUUCCAUUGUUUCUGCUGAGUUGUCAGCCCUCAGGCUUAUUGAUUCUCUUUACAGGAAAUAUCUUGUUUUCUCCUCUGGUUGUUUCAAAAUUCUCUUUGUCUUUAGUUUUCAGCAGCUUUACUGUCAUUCUUAGAUAUAGUUUUCUUCGAAUUUAUCCUGAUUAGAAUUUGUAGCACUUUUUGGUUUUGUGUCUUAAUGUCUUCUUUCAGUGUUGGAGAAUUUCAGGCCAUUAUUUCCUCAAAAUUACUUUGGAACUACUCUCUCUUUUAUCUCCUUCUGGGACUUCAAACACUAUCUUGGAAUCCCAUAUGUUUUUUACAUAUCCUUCCCCCCCACCCCCAAGUUUAUUUCCCCUCCUUUUGUCCCCUGUGCUUCGGUCUGAAUAUUUUCUUUUGACCUUUAGUUUCGCUAAUCAUCUCUUUGGGUCUAUUUCUUCUGUUAGCCCAUCUAUUAGUUUUAAUUUUAGCUAAUGCAUUUCUCAGCUUUAGAAUUUUCAUUUGAUUCUUGUUUUUUAGAUAAAAUUCUCCACCUCUUCAUCUAAGUUCUUCAACAUAUUACUAAGAGAUAGUUUAAAAUACAUGUCUAAUAACUUAAUAUCUAGUUCUCCUGUGGUCUGUUUCUGUUUUAUUUAUCUCGCUUUUUGGCCACAGAGCCCUGUUUUUGGAUAUGCCUAGUAAUGUGUGAUUGACUGUGGACAUCAGAUAUGAACAAUUGCGGAGAUAAGUUGAGCCUUUGGUGGUGAUUUCUGCAUCCCUAGAGAAUUUAGUUUUGCAUUUGUCAUGCAGCUAGGAUAUGGUCAAUCACCUUAAGCCAAUCAGAGAUUGAGUUAAUUCCAAUCUGGGCUUCAGUCUUUGUGAGCACUGAUUUAAUUUUGGUUUCUUUCUGUUCCUAAGGUGGAGGCCUUCUGUGUUCUGAAAUAAAGGCCUGGGUAGAUUAAUAUGGACUUUUCUUUCUGAAGGCCAAAUUUUGUCCCUCAGUCUGAUAAAACUGUAAGAAGUUUUGCUCAGCUUUUUCGCCUCUUAAGCUGCCAAUUUUUGCUCAGCUUUCUGAUAUCUCAGCAGCCACUUGGGAACUCCAGAAUGACUUAAGCGGAAAAGCAGUCUUGGAUGUUGGCAUUGCCCCUCUAAGUUUCUCUUCCUUUUGGCAUCUUGGCUCCUUAGUCCUUACAGCUUUGGAAACUCUCUAAUGCCUUCAAAGAAAUAAUAUAUGUAUGUAUGCAUACACAUAUAGCUCAGCUUUUCUUGUUUGGCGUCACGGAAAGAGUGGUCUGCAACACACUUGUCCAUCAUUACAGAAAGAAGUUAUUAAUCUUUAUGAUUCUUGCACAUCAUAAAAAUCUGUAAAAUGAGUGUAAUAAUGCUGAAGAUUAUUGUGAGAAUCAAUUAGAUCAUAUGGGAAGGCACUGAGCAAACUGGAAAGCUCUAUGGAAACACAACGUAUUAUUAUUAUCUGAAUACAGAACAUCAUCUCUCUGAAACAUGCAGUAAUAUGGCAGAGAGGUAUUUGGUAAUUUAUUUGUCUUUUUGCUUUUUUUGAGGAAGAUUAGCCCUGAACUAACAUCUGCUGCCAGUCCUCCUCUUUUUGCUGAGGAAGACUGGCCCUGAGCUAACAUCCGUGCGCAUCUUCCUCUGCUUUAUAUAUGGGACAUCUUACACAGCAUGGCUUGACAAGCAGUGCAUAGGUCUGCACCAGAUCUGUGAACGCCAGGCUGCCGAAACAGAAUGUGUGAACUUAAGCACUGUGUCAGUGGGCGAGCCCCUACCAUUUAAAAAAAAUAUUGGAUCCUCUGGGGCCGGCCCGGUGGCACAGCAGUUAAGUGCGCACAUUCUGCUUUGGUGGCCUGGGGUUCGUCAGUUUGGAUCCUGGGUGUGGACAUGGCACUACUUAAGUAGUGGUAGUGGACAUGCCAUGCUGUGGUAGGCGUCCCAUAUAUAAACUAGAGGAAGAUGGGCAUAGAUGUUAGCUCAGGGCCAGUCUUCCUCAGCAAAAAGAGGAGGAUUGGCAGCAGAUGUUAGCUCAGGGCUAAUCUUCCUAAGAAAAAAAAAGAAGGAUCCUCUUAAAGGGCCUGAGUCAAUCCAGUGAAUGUGCUACUCAAUGUAGAAGUUGGGGUGGUAUUGAAAUAGAAGGCCUUAUGCUGGGUAAAACUGAGAGAUGUAGUUCCCCAAGGCAACCCAAAGGUAGAAACCAUCUUUCAAAAGGAACUUAGACAGUCCUGGAUGUUAAAUCCCAGCAACGAGGAGAAUGAGCAAUAGGUCACUAGCAUGUAUAAUAAGGUCAGAAGCUAGAGGAAUCGAGGACAGGAGGGAGUGAAGUGGGCAAGUGGGUCAUAGCAAGGUUGAUGAGCAGUGAGAGAUACUAAAGUUUAUCUGGUGCAUUUCAUGGGGCCUGGCUGUGAGAUUGAAAGAAACUCUAUGGGCUAUAAUUUAUGACCUGAUAAUUUUUUGUGGGUUUUUAAUUUUAUAAUUUUUCAAAUUAUCUACUAGAAUUAUUUCUUUUCUGUUGUUUUCUUAUACCCAAGUUAGAGACUGGGAUGUAUGUCAGCAAUAUUAUACUCUAUGAAAAUGGGUUGAAUAUUAUUAUGCAUGUGAACACAUGUCAACUGUUCUUUAACUCUCUGCAUAUUAGUGAUGUGCAGUAGGGACUAUGUAAGUACACAAAAGAAGGUGUGUGAAAAUGAAUAGGAGGACAAUGCACCAAUGUUGAAGUUGUCCAUAAGUCAGAGUUCAAUGAAAAAAUAUCAACACGAUGUACUUUCCACUUAAUAUUGAAAAUACAUCGUUUUCCAUAUUACAGUUCCUGUUAUUAUUGUGGUUGGUUUGUAAUUUUUAAAUCCAUAGACUCUGCUGAUGGAGGUGAGAUGCUAUUCUGACAGAUGUCUAAGAUGGGUGCUACCAACAUAUCUCUUUCAUCAGGACUUCUUUUCAAAAUUCUCAGUGAGGAAUGGUGCCGGACUGUAAGCCACCUGCCGUCAUCUCCUCCUCUCGAGUCUAGCUCAGGGCUUUCACUCUUACAACCCUCCACUUAUCUCUUUCUUCCUUUCUUCCCUACUUGCUACGAGCCCAGCUCCUCUGUGAAGUCAAGCUUUUCAUAUAUUAGAAGUUUUCAAAGGCAAAAGGAUGAGAUUUGGCAUUUGUUUCAUGACGAACUACUGUAUCUGGAUGGAUAGUAUCUCAUAACGUAACAAGACUUUUCGAAAUAAAUCUCGCCUAUUUUUUUAAGCAGAUCUUAUAAAUAACUGCAAUAAGCAUUGUUUAUUAGCCUAGACUGAGUUACUAUAUGUUCUUAUAUAAAAGGUUACAAGAAAGGUUCAGAUUAGUUAUUCAGAGCUAUAAAGGCCACCUCCAAUGAUGAAUAAGAGGUCAAUGGUAAUAUAAAAAACAGAAAUAGUGAUUUAGAGUGAGUAUGGGAUGUGGGUCCUAAUGUAAGUGCUUUAUUUGUCAUAAAAGGGAGAAAACAGAUGUGGAUUUAUAAAUCAAGAAACAGGGGUAAGCAUUUUAUGUAAUGUGAUAACGGAAACUCCUCAGAAGAUCUAAGUGUGCUAAGCGGAGGGAGACUUGUUUUAACAUGAGACCAUUCUGUCCUCUGACUUUUAAAUUUAUUAUGCAAAAUCUUUCUUAUAAUAAAAGUAGUUUUAAAAAUAAGAGGAUAUAUUAGACAAAUGCACAUAACAAAUAUAGCAAUAAUAAAAAAAGAAAUUAAUAUUUUAAGAAUCCCAGAAACUAAAGAUGUGAAAGUGAACGCAUUCAUAAUUUCUUUGGUUAAAGAGGAAAUCAAAAUCCAAUUUAUAAUACUCUUCAGAAAUGACAACUGCAUCUUGUAUAGAAAAGUUGUACUGUGCAGUUAUUGGUUAUAUUACGGUGUAAAUAUCUGUUCAUGGGCCUUUGGGUUGUUUUCAGUUUGCGCCUAUUACAAACAUCUUAUUUAUUUACCCAUGUAGGCCUCAUUGACAGUGCUCUUCAUUCCUUUUUGUAGAUCCAUAUUUCCAUCUGGGGUGACUUUUAUUCUACCUGAAGGACCUACUUUAACAUUUCUUAUGGCAGGGGUCUGCUAGACAUCGACUCAUUCUUCUAGCUUUUGUAUGUCUGAAAGAAUCGUUAUUUAACCUUCAUGUUUGAAGGAUGUUUUCGUGAGAUAUAUGACGCUAGGUUGACAGCUACUUGCUUUUAGUACUUUAAAGAUGUUUCUUAACUGUCUUCUUGUUCGCAUUGUUUUCAAUGAGAAAUCUUCUGGAUUCUUUGUCUAGGUUCCUCUGUACAUAAUGUGUCUUUAUUUCUCUGACCACUUUUUUUUUUUUUUUAAAGAUUUUAUUUUUUUCCUUUUUCUCCCCAAAGCCCCCUGGUACAUAGUUGUAUACUCUUCGUUGUGGGUCCUUCUAGUUGUGGCAUGUGGGACGCUGCCUCAGCGUGGUUUGAUGAGCAGUGCCAUGUCCGUGCCCAGGAUUCGAACCAACGAGACACUGGGCCGCCUGCAGCGGAGCGCGCGAACUUAACCACUCGGCCACGGGGCCAGCCCCUAUCUCUGACCACUUUUAAGAUAAUCUAUUUAUCAUCGAUAUUGAGCAAUUCGAUUGUGACAUACCUUGGUGCAGUUUUCUUUAUGGCUACUUUUGCGUUACUAUAUAUAUUCUUGAACUUUGUUGAAGAAAUUGUGCUUAGGAUGUGUACUUUUGGAUCUGUGGAUUUAGAGUUUUCAUCAAAUUUGGAAAACUCUUAGCUAUUGUUUUUUCUGUGCCGUCCACCAAACCUAUCCUCGGAGAAUCUCAUUACAUGUAUAUUUGGCUGCUUUAAAAUUUCUCAACAUCCCUGAUUCUCUAUUUCUGUUCUUCUGAAUCUCUUUGUUUCAUUUUGGAUAGUUUCUCUUAUCAUAUGUUCAUGUUCACUAAUGUUUUCUUCUGCGAUGUCUAGCCUGUGCAUUAUUCCUGUCCGACAUAGUAGUUUUCAUCUUUAGAAGUUUAAUUUGUGCCUUAUUUACACCUUCUAUGUCUCAACAACUUUGAACAUAUGUGUCAGUUACUGUUGAUAUCGAUUAAUUUUUCUCUUCAUUAUGGGUCACAUUUUCCUGCUUCUUUCUGUGCCUGGCAAUUUUUGAUUAGAUGUCAGAUAUUGUGAAAUUUACCUGGUUGGAUGCGGGAUAUUCUUGUAUUUCUGUUUGAGUCUUUUAAAAUCUCUUCUAUACCUUAAACUUUUGGAACAUAAUUUUAAAAUGUCUUUGUGAACUAAUUCUAACGUCUGCAUCAGUUAGUUUUUUAACUGUUUUCUUUUUCUCAUUAUGGGUCAUAUUUUCCUACUUCUUUGCAUUUCUAAUAAUCUUUGAUUGGAUGCCAACAUUAUAAAUUUUACCUUUUUGGGCACUAGAUACUUUCGUAUUCCUAUAAAUAGUCUUGGGCUUUGUUCUGGGGUGUAAUUAAGUUCCUUGUAGUUCAGUUAGCCCUUUUGGGUCUUGUUUUUACGAUUUGGUAGGUGGGACCAGAACAGUGUUUAAUUCAGGGCUAAUUAUUCCCAACUACUGAGGCAAGUCCCUUCUGAGUACUCUGCUCAAUGCCUUGUGGAAAUAAGGUUUUUCAGUCUGACUAGUGGGAACAGGCACUAUUGCCUGCCCUGUGUGAGUGCUGGGUAAUGUUCCCUCUAAUCCUGUGGGUAGUUCUUUCUCUGGCCUCCAGUAGUUUUUUCAUACAUUUGCUCUGAUUAACAUGCUGGUGACUCAAGAUGAUCUCUGGACAUCUCUGCAGUUACUGCCUGUGGAACUCUCUCCUCUCCAGGGCUCUAUCUGCCUUGGUCUCUGUGAAUGAUCUACUUUGUCUCCUCAACUCAGGUAGUCCACCAGCCUCUGCCUAGUUUUCUCCAUUUUUCUCUACACUUCCUGGAAACUCCCUCAAGGAAGUAAGUUGGGGCAGUCAUAGUGCUCACCUCAUUUGUUUUCCAUCUCUGCCCCAACGUCCAGUGUCUUGACAACCACUAUUGCAUAAAUUUCUUUUUUGGUGUUUUAGGCAAGAGGGUAAAUCCAGUCUCUUUUACUUUAUCUUGACCAGAAGUGGAAGAUAAUAAAUUUAUUUUAAAGUGUUAAUUUCAGAAAAUACGUUAAGAAAGAUAUCCUUAAAUAAUGAAAUAGCAAAAGAGGUAUGCAAUCUUGCAACUGGAUACUAAAUCCUUCUAAAGUCAUUUUACUGCCGGAUGUUUGCUUUUGUGAAGACACAGACUUCACACAAUUUUCAAGCUUUUCUAAAAAUGAUCUGUGAUCGUUAUAGCUCUGACAGUAGGAGUUGGAGCAAUAUAUAGGCUUAUUAUUUGAGUAUAUAAGUGUAAAAACUCUUAUCAUAACUUAUUUAAGGAUCAAAAUAUCUGGAUUGAAAAAAGAAGCCUGAUUAUGUUCCAGUCAUCUCAUUUUAAAACAUCAAUCUCUUUUAGAAAUAUAUCUUUUGUAAUUCCCUUUAACACAUUGCCUUUGAUUUAUAAUGUCUGCUGAUAACACUAGAUAUGCAAUAUGUUUAUUAAUUUGACAUUGCUUUAGGAUAUAUAUUGCUUUAAUAUAUAUGAAAUAGAAAAUGCUAAUUUGAGGCUCACUUUAUUGCUUGUUAUGUGUAUAUACAGUGAACCCACAUUUGAUCUUUAAUAAUGGGCUAUCUCAAUUGCAAAAUUUACUCAUUUUUUCAUGUGUUGUAUGAAAAAUGUAUGGAUAAGCUUGUGGGAAAUAAGACAUCAAUUAAAGUGAUAAAUUAUAAACCAAUAAUUAUGGAGAAAUUUUAGUGUCAAAUCACCUUGGUUUUAAAUACUUCUGGGUUAAUACAUGGAAAGUGGUUAGGACAGGGUUUGGAAUGUAAUGAGUUCAAUACAGGUUAAAAGUUAAAUGGUUAUUUCCUAUUUGAAUGUUUUUUGAGAUGUGUAUGAUUGAAGUGUAACUGAAGUAAUGAUGAUUCUGUAAGUAACUAGGUCCUUGCACUGAUCACAUAUUGCACUUAUUUACCACCAGUCAGUGUUUGACUUAAGAUGAGAUGAAGGCAAACCAUAUGCCAACGUGGAGGAUUUUUUUUGAGGAAGGUUGGCCCUGAGCUAACAUCUGUUGCCAAUCUUCAUCUUUUUGCUUGAAGAAGAUUGUCGCUGAGCUAACAUCUGUGCCAAUCUUCCUCUAUUUUAUGUGGGACAUCACCGCAGCAUGGCUUGAUGAGCAGUGCUAGGUCCGUGCCCGGGAUCUGAACCUGCGAACCCCGGGCCGCCAGAGUGGAGCAUGCAAACUUAACCACUAUGCCACUGGGCUGACCCCAACAACAUGGAGGAUUUUUAAUCUCUCUCACUCUUCAUUGAUAGUUUUUCAUUUUAAUUCCUGAUCCUGUGGUAGAGCUUUCACUCAAAACUGACACUGGAUGAGGAAGAAUAAAAAGAUAGGGAGCUGUGAGCAAAGCAGAGGAUGUGAAAGAGCCUGGAAUAGGGGGAAAGACUGGAGCAUUGAUGUGUAAGGCAGGAAGAAAAUUUCUACAGAGGAGGCAAGGGAGCUGUACAGAAUCAGGAUUCAUUUCUUGCAUACCAACUUUGCCAGAGACUUCUCAGGAGAAAUGUUUUCCCUGGAAAUACAUUUAGGAGACAGAGAGCCAAUAGAAUUUCAAAGCUGGAAUGAAUGUUGAAGUCUGUCAGAUAAAAGCAAUUUAAACAGGUGAAAAUAGAGUUUGCUAAGAAUUAUAGUGGGGAAAUUAGUACAAAAAGCUAGCAACUCAAUAACAGCCCCACUUGUUGAGCCCCUUCUAUUUGGAAGUCACUCUGCUAUAUUUAUAAAAUUAUAAUUAAAAGGCAGUAUUUCUUGGGGCCAGCCCUGUGGCCGAGUGGUUGAGUUCGCAGGCUCUGCUUCGGUGGCGCAGGGCUUCACCAGUUCCUAUCUUGGGCGCUGAUCUAGCAUUGCUUGCCAAGCCAUGCUGAGGCGGCGUCCCACAUAGAGGAGCCAGAAGGACCUACAACUAGAAUAUACAACUAUGUACUGGGGGUCUUUGGGAAGAAGAAGAAGAAAAAAUUCUCCUGUUCAGACCACCCUUGACCCACCCAUAUGCCCCACCAUGGCCGCUGUGGAGUCACAUCCCAGAUGGAUACGCUGCAGGACGGAAGAGGGCAGCUCACUCCAUGUCAGCCUUGGCGGGAGUGAGAAAUUAAUCUUUAAAAAAAAAAUACGGUAUUCCUUUAAGUAAAUUUCCUUGUUUUUUAUUGGCAAAGCAGAUCAGAUGUGAUUGAUAAUGCAGUGGUUAUUGACAUGAAAAUGUUCUGUUGCUUUUCAGAUGCAGAAUAUCAGUGUUACUCCAAAUAUAGAAAUCUACUCAAUAGCAUUGUCAAAAGGUAAUAAUUGAAAACUUACAACUUCUUUCGACUUUUGGAUGGCUGUAGGGCUACAGAUGCUUCUGCUGGACUUAAUGAUCCCUCUGUUCCAUUCAUCCAUUGUUCAGUUCUUUGGAGUGAAACAGAAUAAGCUGAAUCUAUUUCAGGCAUUUGAAGAUAGCUAUGCAAUCCCAGUUCUCCUUUAAGUUUUUAUCCUAUGACAUGGCCCCUUUCCCUUCACAAUCCUGAUUGUCUUUUUAGAUACAGAAGCAAUUGCCAAGGUCUAUCUUGAGGACAGAGAUAAAAAAGAAAUAUAAAAUGUGCUUGCUACCAUUAAAGUACUUAUGAAAUAUUGAUUUUUUUGGGCCCAAUCUCUGUCAUGUAUCUUUAUGUCCAACAGGUAUGACAGAUUAACAGCUCCAAAGGAGGAAUUCUAAUAAGUAAGAUCAAUUUAAGGAGCCUGGUGAGUUCUAAGUGGCGGCUCUAAGUGAAAGCUUGGUUGCAGCAUGUGCUGACCAGGCAUACACAUCCCAUUAGAAAAGGAUGGAUGUCAGUUAGCUAAUUCAGUCAAAAAUUAUUUUAUUCAUCCAUUCAGUCUUGUAACAUUUCUCAAAAUGUGUUCUGGUGACCACUCUGCUGAGAACAAUCUUCUGUGCUUAAGCAACCACAUGCCAUAUUGCUCCUUUGAGAUUCUUUGCAAUAAUUUUCACAUAAAGGUUUUUGAUCAAUCCUAUAGUAAAGAAACUCCUUUGACAUUGUUUCAAUCAGCUUUUCCAAACUUUUUCUUUUGCUUCGGGAAAUUUUUUGUGUAACAUUCAUGACUUCUUGUGGAACAUAUUUUGGAAAAUGCUGUCUUAAAACAUUGAACCACAGAACUGACUGGACUUUUUAAUUCCAAACAUUUCAAUGUGAAUAUAGCCAUUUUCAUGAUAAAUGGUUCUCUUAGGAAGACUGAGUGGCAUCUGAACUUGACUCCAGUUUCUACUGAAGAUUUAUAAUAAAAAUCUGUGAGAAGGGAGCUGAGUGAGGCCUAAGGAAUAGAGGAAACCAGCAAAGUAUACUGGCAUGUGAUUUUGAGGGAAAUUCAUGAAAGAGCUGGAAGGCAGAAAUAUCAUAAACUGGAAGGAAUCUCGAGAAAAUUUUGUCUCUAUUCCAUGGCUUCUUUUCCUUAAUUAGGACAGUAUUUAUUAAACAGUCAUCCAUCACGAACGUACUCUGAUUAAGUUAGUGUUAACAAAUCACUAACUACAAGGUGAUAUAAAUGGAGACAAAACCGUUGUGCCAAAGAACUUAACAAUUUAACCACAAAGCAAAGCGAUAUAUCCACAAAAUAAUCAGCUAUAAAGCAGUAUGUAAUUAGUUGUUGAGCUGAGUGGCUCAGGUCAUAAAUACUCUCGAGUGGAGGGAAAGAAGGUAUUGCUGUGAAUGGAGUUAAACAUGGUUUUCUAUUUUUAAAGACUCCUCAAAAGGAUAGUUUUAAUUUGUCUUAGUAACCACUAUUGCAAGAGAAUAACUGUCUCAAAGUUCUUUGUGUUUAACACAGGUAUUUACUGCUGAAGGUCAUACAAAUAUCUCUUGGCCGGGCUUCAGUGGGAAUGGAGAAAGGACAUCUUCCCAUAUAUUAAUGAUAGGAGAAUAUCUUCAUGAAAAGAUCACUACAAUUCUCUUUUGUUACCAGACGGUUUUACAAAACAUUUAGGUCAGCAACACAUAGGUCUGCAAUGCAGUGCUAGCAUUAGAAAUGUGAGAUGACCUCAGAGAAGAGUUGGGAAAACUAGAAGAGUUAUGAUAAGAAAUAAAUAAAAGGCAGGAUAAAGUCUAACAAAGGCAAUUUGAGGCAAGCAUCAGAAGGAAAAGAGUUAAUAGGGAGUGUGUACUUAAGUAAUAGAAGAAGACAGAAAAAAAUGACACACACAGGAAGUGGGUCCACGGGAUAAGUGGACGGCUGAGAUUAACAUAUGGGAACCAGACAGCAAGGAUGGGUCAGAAGAGAGGAACAGCCACCUGGGGAUAAAUAUAGCAGCAGAUAAGAAGGAAUGGAAAUAUUGCAUGGGGGAUUUACUUCCUAUUUUGGAAAGACAGGAGAGAAAGAACCACGAGCCACUUGAAACAGUUUAAAAAUUAUAUACUUCCCCCUUGCUCAAAAGGGUUAUGUAAUUUGUAAAUGCUAAAGCAGACCUUUAAAAAACACUGGCAUCACUCUCCAUGUUAUUUUUAAACAUCUUUUCAUUCAUUAAGCGCAAUUAAGCUAUCAAAUCCUCUGUUUUAACUAUGCAGAACACAGUUCCCACAGCCAGGAGCACAGAGAGUAUUAGAAACAUUAUGAACAAUUCUGAACUUGCACAAAAUGUAAUUGGCCAAUUUGGAGACAUUGUUUUGCACAGUAUGAUGUGUCUCAUACAUUUUUCAUAUAGAGGCGAUGCAUUUUAUGAGACACGCAAUAAGCGUAUGGAAAUGCAUGCGGUCUCAGGAAGCCAAGAAGAACCGUAGUGGGGAUGGGAGACCGAGACCUGAGCUGAGCUAUGUGACGAGAUUUGUGAGCUCUGAAACUUGACAAGCUUGGAAAAAACUACUCUAGGCAGGCUUUCCAAGGCACUUAGAAUGUUAAUUAUACCGGGUGCGCUCCAUUUUUUUUCCUUGCUGUAAUUUCUUUACUGGUUUUAAUUAAGCGCUUUUAAUGUCUAUUAGGAAGGUGGAGGAACAAGGAGGGUGAGAAUUGGCUUCCCAGGCAAGUUUUGCCCUGCCCUCACUCAUUUUAUGCACUACCCAACCUGUGCCUUUGCUAAUCUUUUAUAUGAUUACCUGCAUUUCUGCUAAUUGAUGGCUUUUUAUUCUCUUCUUUCGCUAAUUCUACAAAUUAAGGCUCUACUUAAAUGUUGUCAGUUCAGUCAAUAUCCUCUUUGGAGUAGUAUUAGAGGAAAUGGGUCAUAAUCUUUUGUUGAUUGACAUGUGGUAAUAUUAAAAAUUACUGAUGCAGCUUGAAAGUAUCUUUGUGGAGAAUACUGAGGAACCACUGAAACUCAGUGGAAAAAGGCUUCAGUGGAGGGUGAGCUCAUAUUUGUAUAGACAGACUUGGAUCUGGGAUGUAGGAGCACACAGCUCCAUUCACUCCUGCUUCAGCGGAGUCAGCGCUUACUGACCACAGUGUUUGGUACAAAGCACAUUUGUAAUAACUUAAGAAUUAUAUUUGAAAAUUUAAAGCUGAACAUACACAUUAUAACAUUGAUUUUUUACUGGUCAGUUGUAUGUAAAAAGAAGGAAGAGAGUCCUUUUUAUUCCUUUACUGCAUCACCCAAUAUAUAUUGGGUGCCUUCUAUAUGUUAAGCAUAAGAACUGAAUGGAGAAAUAGAUGGAAUGAGACUACCUGAAGAAGCUGACAUCCUAAUAGAGGAGAGAGAACAUGUGUAGAAAUAAGAACCAUCUGAGGCAUCCAUUCUUUUUCUUUUUUUCAUUAAGCAUUUAUUAGCUAACUACUGUGUCAGGAACUAUGCUAAGGGAUAAGAAUACGAAGAUGAAGAGAACACAAUAUUUGUUCCCAAAGGAUUUGGUAACUGGGGCAGGGGCACAGACGUGUAAAUAAACAAUUAUAGCAAUGGAGUGACAGUUAUUAUGUAGUUAUAUUCCAGUUUCUCAGAACCCUGAGAAGGAAGUACUGAACUCUGCAAGGAGGAGUCAGGCAUGGCAUCCUGGAAAACAAGAGAGACCAUCUUAGUGUAGUUUGAGUCUCUAGUUCUCGCGACUUCUCACUCUCCUGUGCUAGAAUAUGUAAGCAAAUAAAUAACUCCCCCCUUCCUUUUUUUGCCUAAGCAAGUUUGAGUUAGAUUUCUGUCACUUACAGUCAAAAGAAUCCUGUAAAGUUCAGAGUCAGACCUUUGUAUAUAUUGUUGCAAAAGCCUUUGAAGGGCUAGCGAGGAGCCAUAGCAGGGUCACUGUUCUGUCUUUUAACCAGAAAGCCCACUUCAUUUACAUUUCAAUUACCUUCUUGCACAU
rnacentral:lncRNA from 1 species